CCCCUCUUAGGGUCUCACCUGGAGAGUUUCCAGUAUUCUACCAGUCACGACUACGGGAGGGAGAGUAAAGCCGAAGUCCACCCAUUCCAUUCCUAGCUUGGGAAGUGGCUAGCGAGUGGAAGGCAAUCGGCUACAAGU